rnacentral:rRNA from 1 species
GACGAACGCUGGCGGCGCGCCUAACACAUGCAAGUCGAACGGAGCUUACAGACGGAAGUUUUCGGAUGGAAGGCUGCAAGCUUAGUGGCGGACGGGUGAGUAACACGUGAGCAACCUGCCUAUCAGAGGGGGAUAACGAUUGGAAACGAUCGCUAAUACCGCAUGACGUAGCGGAAUCGCAUGGUUCUGUUAUCAAAGAUUUUAUCGCUGAUAGAUGGGCUCGCGUCCGAUUAGAUAGUUGGUGGGGUAAUGGCCUACCAAGUCGACGAUCGGUAGCCGGACUGAGAGGUCGAACGGCCACAUUGGGACUGAGACACGGCCCAGACUCCUACGGGAGGCAGCAGUGGGGGAUAUUGCACAAUGGGGGAAACCCUGAUGCAGCGACGCCGCGUGAGGGAAGACGGUCCUCUGGAUUGUAAACCUCUGUCUUCGGGGACGAAACGAGACGGUACCCGAGGAGGAAGCCACGGCUAACUACGUGCCAGCCGCCGCGGUAA